UAGCAAUACCAUGAGAGUGGCGCACGGGUGAGUAACGCGUAUGCAACCUACCUGUAACAUAGGGAUAGCCCAUAGAAAUGUGGAUUAACACCUCAUAGUUCUUAUUAGUCGCAUGACUGAAAAGAUAAAACUCCGGUGGUUACAGAUGGGCAUGCGUGACAUUAGCUAGUUGGUAAGGUAACGGCUUACCAAGGCUACGAUGUCUAGGGGUUCUGAGAGGAUGAUCCCCCACACUGGUACUGAGACACGGACCAGACUCCUACGGGAGGCAGCAGUGAGGAAUAUUGGUCAAUGGGCGCAAGCCUGAACCAGCCAUCCCGCGUGCAGGAUGACGGCCCUAUGGGUUGUAAACUGCUUUUAUACACCAAGAAAAACUACCACGUGUGGUAGCCCGACGGUAGUGUAUGAAUAAGCAUCGGCUAUAAGUCUGAUGUGAAAUCCUGUCGCUUAACGAUAGAAUUGCCAUUGAUACUGAGAAGCUUGAGUACAGUUGAGGUAAGCGGAAUGUGUAGUGUAGCGGUGAAAUGCUUAGAUAUUACACAGAACACCGAUUGCGAAGGCAGCUUACUAAACUGUUACUGACGCUGAUGCACGAAAGCGUGGGGAGCGAACAGGAUUAGAUACCCUGGUAGUCCACGCCGUAAACGAUGAUCACUCGCUGUAUGCGAUACACAGUAUGCGGCCAAGCGAAAGCAUUAAGUGAUCCACCUGGGGAGUACGAUCGCAAGGUUGAAACUCAAAGGAAUUGACGGGGGCCCGCACAAGCGGAGGAACAUGUGGUUUAAUUCGAUGAUACGCGAGGAACCUUACCUGGGCUUAAAUGGGGAACGACAGCUGCCGAAAGGUGGCCUUCUUCGGUAAUUCGAUGAUACGCGAGGAACCUUACCUGGGCUUAAAUGGGGAACGACAGCUGCCGAAAGGUGGCCUUCUUCGGACGUUCUUCAAGGUGCUGCAUGGUUGUCGUCAGCUCGUGCCGUGAGGUGUCGGGUUAAGUCCCAUAACGAGCGCAACCCUUAUCGUUAGUUGCCAGCGGGUCAUGCCGGGGACUCUAGCGAGACUGCCACCGUAAGGUGUGAGGAAGGUGGGGAUGACGUCAAAUCAGCACGGCCCUUAUGUCCAGGGCUACACACGUGUUACAAUGGCCGAUACAAAGGGCAGCUACCAGGUGACUGGAUGCUAAUCUCUAAAGUCGGUCUCAGUUCGGAUUGUAGGCUG
rnacentral:rRNA from 1 species